GGUAGUCCACGCCGUAAACGAUGAGUGCUAAGUGUUAGAGGGUUUCCGCCCUUUAGUGCUGAAGUUAACGCAUUAAGCACUCCGCCUGGGGAGUACGGCCGCAAGGCUGAAACUCAAAGGAAUUGACGGGGGCCCGCACAAGCGGUGGAGCAUGUGGUUUAAUUCGAAGCAACGCGAAGAACCUUACCAGGUCUUGACAUCCUCUGACAACCCUAGAGAUAGGGCUUCUCCUUCGGGAGCAGAGUGACAGGUGGUGCAUGGUUGUCGUCAGCUCGUGUCGUGAGAUGUUGGGUUAAGUCCCGCAACGAGCGCAACCCUUGAUCUUAGUUGCCAUCAUUAAGUUGGGCACUCUAAGGUGACUGCCGGUGACAAACCGGAGGAAGGUGGGGAUGACGUCAAAUCAUCAUGCCCCUUAUGACCUGGGCUACACACGUGCUACAAUGGACGGUACAAAGAGCUGCAAGACCGCGAGGUGGAGCUAAUCUCAUAAAACCGUUCUCAGUUCGGAUUGUAGGCUGCAACUCGCCUACAUGAAGCUGGAAUCGCUAGUAAUCGCGGAUCAGCAUGCCGCGGUGAAUACGUUCCUGGGCCUUGUACACACCGCCCGUCACACCACGAGAGUUUGUAACACCCGAAGUCGGUGGGGUAACCUUUUUGGAGCCAGCCGCCUAAGGUGGGACAGAUGAUUGGGGUGAAGUCGUAACAAGGUAACC
rnacentral:rRNA from 1 species